AUUUGGAUGUGCUUAUGCGUCCGUAUGUGUUUAUGAGCAUAUGUGCAUGUCUUUAUGCUUGUCUAUAUCUGUAUUCAGAAUAUAAUUUUGAAGCAUAGAAAUCCUUAAUUUCAAACAUGAAAAAAGAAGAAAUGCAUUUACUUUUUUUGCCUGGAUUCAAGCUUGAACAUGAUGCUUCCCAAACACCCGCCAAUAUCAACAGAGCAUGGGGUGAAGUGUCCACUAGUGAUCAGACGGUAUGAUGGUGGUUUGAGAGAUUCCAUAGUGGGGAUGAAAGCCUCGAAGGUCAAGAAGUUUUGCUUACAACACAACAACAGAAAUCAUAUCAAUCUCAGCAAAUUCAAGAAGAAGAAGAACAACAACAGAAGCAGCAAUAACAGAGACAACACCUCUGAGGUCAACUUUGCCUUUCAUCCUUUCGGGGUCGAUAAAUUAAGUACCAGUUGUGUACUGGGUCGAUCUAAUCGACUGGCCCCCUCCUCAAAAAUGUCGGGCCUUGUGCCUAGAGUAGAAAAGAAUAAUAGAGGCAACAGGACAACAAUUGCAACACCAACACAAACAACAGUAACAUCAUCAUCAUCGCUGUUGUCGUCGUCAUUGUCAUCAUCAUCGUCAUCGUCAUCAUCAUCAUCAUCACCAUUGAUAACAACAGGUUACUACAGCAGUAAUACCAGCAGCAAUAGCAAUAACAACUGCAACUGCUUGACAGCAUUAACAACAACAGAAACAACAGGAACAUUAGCAACAACAACAACAACAACAACAACAGCAGCAACAGCAACAAUAACAAUCAGUUAUCUGAGAUUAUAGCUUAAGUUGACAUUUUCUUUUUGGAUCAGCAAAUGUUAGAAUUCAGAAGAUUAGCCUUCAACCAUUUCCUGUAUAUGCUCACCCUAUCACAACCAUCAUCACCGAUGCCGACCAACCUUGCCACUACCACUAAAACCACCAGCACCACCAGCACCACCACCUCCACCACCACCACCAC